AGAUCAGCCCUGGGGUUCAGAGGGAUCCUGACAGCUACUCCUCAAGAUCCUCUCUGUUGUGAUUCAUCCCCCCGGGGCCCUACAGUUUCUCCUUCCUGACUCUUACAUUUCUUUGGAUGGCAUCAUUAUUCCUGUGGCUGGCUGACAGCAGAGAGAGAUGCUCAACUUGGAGAAGGUGUUACCUGGGCCAGGUGGGGAAGGUUUGUUUGCAGAGCAAAGAAGUGAAGGAAGUAUUAACCCUUUGCAUGGCCUCCUGAGAAUCCGACAAGACGUAAAUAGCCAAGAAUAUCUGUGAAACUUCAUCACUGAGUUACAAUAUUUAUCACUGCAAGUGUGUUGUUCAUUGACACUAUAAAGCCAUGUGGAAUUAAGCAGCCUUGAAACACAAAAUGGAGAAAGGCUAAGAGCUGAGAAUUGUUGCCUUCAGGGAAAUACAAUCAAUGUCAAGCAAACAACCACCCCAAAA
ensembl:lncRNA MYO3B-AS1 MYO3B antisense RNA 1